AUUGAACGCUGGCGGCAGGCUUAACACAUGCAAGUCGAACGAGUGGCAGCCGGGUGAGUAAUGUCUGGGAAACUGCCUGAUGGAGGGGGAUACAUAAUGGAAACGGUCGAUAAUACCGCAUACCUUCGGAUGUGCCCAGAUGGGCUUAGCUAGUAGGUGUGGUAAUGGCUCACGUAGGCGACGAUCCCUAGCGGGUCUGAGAGGAUGACCAGCCACACUGGAACUGAGAUACGGUCAAGACUCCUACGGUAGGCAGCAGGGGGGAAUAGUGCACAAUGGGCGCAAGCCUGAUGCAGCCAUGCCGCGUGGAUGAAGAAGGCCUUCGGGUUGUAAAGUACUUUCAGCGGUGAGGCGUUACCCGCAGAAGAAGCACCGGCUAACUCCGUGCCAGCAGCCGCGGUAAUAC
rnacentral:rRNA from 1 species